GACGAACGCUGGCGGCGUGCUUAACACAUGCAAGUCGAACGGAAAGGCCCUGCUUUUGUGGGGUGCUCGAGUGGCGAACGGGUCAGUAACACGAGAGUAACCUGCCCUGGACUUUGGGAUAACUUCAGGAAACUGGGGCUAAUACCGGAUAGGAGCUCCUGCUGCAUUGUGGGGGUGGGAAAGGUUCGGCGGUUGGUGAUGGACUCGCGGCGUAUCAGCUCGUUGGUGGGGUAGUGGCUGAACUAGGCUUUGACGGGUAGCCGGCCUGAGAGGGUGACCGGCCAGAUUGGGACUGAGACACGGGCCAGACUUCGACGGGAGGCAGCAGUGGGGAAUAUUGUACAGUGGGCGGAAGGCUGAUGCAGCAACGCCGCGUGCGGGAUGACGGCCUUCGGGUUGUAAACCGCUUUCGCCUGUGACGAAGCGUGAGUGACGGUAAUGGGUAAAGAAGCACCGGCUAACUACGUG
rnacentral:rRNA from 1 species